GAUGAACGCUAGCGGGAGGCCUAACACAUGCAAGCCGAGCGGUAUUAUUUCUUCGGAAAUGAGAGAGCGGCGUACGGGUGCGGAACACGUGUGCAACCUGCCUUUAUCUGGGGGAUAGCCUUUCGAAAGGAAGAUUAAUACUCCAUAAUAUAUUGAACGGCAUCGUUUAAUAUUGAAAGCUCCGGCGGAUAGAGAUGGGCACGCGCAAGAUUAGCUAGUUGGUGAGGUAACGGCUCACCAAGGCGAUGAUCUUUAGGGGGCCUGAGAGGGUGAUCCCCCACACUGGUACUGAGACACGGACCAGACUCCUACGGGAGGCAGCAGUGAGGAAUAUUGGUCAAUGGGUGCAAGCCUGAACCAGCCAUCCCGCGUGAAGGACGACUGCCCUAUGGGUUGUAAACUUCUUUUGUAUAGGGAUAAACCUACUCUCGUGAGGAUAGCUGAAGGUACUAUACGAAUAAGCACCGGCUAACUCCGUGCCAGCAGCCGCAGUAACAC
rnacentral:rRNA from 1 species